rnacentral:rRNA from 1 species
AGUGAUCGCUGGCGGCGUGCUUAACACAUGCAAGUCGAGCGAAUUUCAGCAGCGUAUCGCUGGAGUUAGCGGCAGACGGGUGAGUAAUACUUGGGCAAUCUGCCCUUGAGUGGGAAACAACCGGCCGAAAGGCUGGCUAAUGUCCCAUAAGACCACAGGAUGGCGUCAUCCAGGGGUCAAAGCUCCGCAAGGGGCGCUUGAGGAGGAGCCUGAGGCCUAUCAUGGUAGUUGGUGAGGUAACGGCUCACCAAGCCUUUGACGGGUAGCCGGCCUGAAAGGGUGAUCGGCCACACUGGCACUGAGACACGGGCCAGACUCCUACGGGAGGCAGCAGUGGGGAAUUUUGGACAAUGGGCGCAAGCCUGAUCCAGCGA